rnacentral:rRNA from 1 species
GGCGAACGCUGGCGGCGUGCUUAACACAUGCAAGUCGAACGGAAAGGCCCUGCUUUUGUGGGGUGCUCGAGUGGCGAACGGGUGAGUAACACGUGAGUAACCUGCCCUUGACUUUGGGAUAACUUCAGGAAACUGGGGCUAAUACCGGAUAGGAGCUCUUGCUGCAUGGCGGGGGUUGGAAAGUUUCGGCGGUUGGGGAUGGACUCGCGGCUUAUCAGCUUGUUGGUGGGGUAGUGGCUUACCAAGGCUUUGACGGGUAGCCGGCCUGAGAGGGUGACCGGCCACAUUGGGACUGAGAUACGGCCCAGACUCCUACGGGAGGCAGCAGUGGGGAAUAUUGCACAAUGGGCGGAAGCCUGAUGCAGCAACGCCGCGUGCGGGAUGACGGCCUUCGGGUUGUAAACCGCUUUCGCCUGUGACGAAGCGUGAGUGACGGUAAUGGGUAAAGAAGCACCGGCUAACUACGUGCCAGCAGCCGCGGUGAUACGUAGGGUGCGAGCGUUGUCCGGAUUUAUUGGGCGUAAAGGGCUCGUAGGUGGUUGAUCGCGUCGGAAGUGUAAUCUUGGGGCUUAACCCUGAGCGUGCUUUCGAUACGGGUUGACUUGAGGAAGGUAGGGGAGAAUGGAAUUCCUGGUGGAGCGGUGGAAUGCGCAGAUAUCAGGAGGAACACCAGUGGCGAAGGCGGUUCUCUGGGCCUUUCCUGACGCUGAGGAGCGAAAGCGUGGGGAGCGAACAGGCUUAGAUACCCUGGUAGUCCACGCUGUAAACGGUGGGUACUAGGUGUGGGGUCCAUUCCACGGGUUCCGUGCCGUAGCUAACGCUUUAAGUACCCCGCCUGGGGAGUACGGCCGCAAGGCUAAAACUCAAAGGAAUUGACGGGGCCCCGCACAAGCGGCGGAGCAUGCGGAUUAAUUCGAUGCAACGCGUAGAACCUUACCUGGGUUUGACAUGGAUCGGGAGUGCUCAGAGAUGGGUGUGCCUCUUUUGGGGUCGGUUCACAGGUGGUGCAUGGCUGUCGUCAGCUCGUGUCGUGAGAUGUUGGGUUAAGUCCCGCAACGAGCGCAACCCUUGUUCACUGUUGCCAGCACGUUAUGGUGGGGACUCAGUGGAGACCGCCGGGGUCAACUCGGAGGAAGGUGGGGAUGACGUCAAGUCAUCAUGCCCCUUAUGUCCAGGGCUUCACGCAUGCUACAAUGGCUGGUACAGAGAGUGGCGAGCCUGUGAGGGUGAGCGAAUCUCGGAAAGCCGGUCUCAGUUCGGAUUGGGGUCUGCAACUCGACCUCAUGAAGUCGGAGUCGCUAGUAAUCGCAGAUCAGCAACGCUGCGGUGAAUACGUUCCCGGGGCU